rnacentral:rRNA from 1 species
UACGGGGGGGGCAAGCGUUGUUCGGAAUUACUGGGCGUAAAGGGCGCGUAGGCGGCCUGCUAAGUCACACGAGAAAUCCCUCGGCUCAACCGGGGAACUGCGUGUGAUACUGGCGGGCUUGAAUUCGGGAGAGGGAUGUGGAAUUCCAGGUGUAGCGGUGAAAUGCGUAGAUAUCUGGAGGAACACCGGUGGCGAAGGCGGCAUCCUGGACCGAGAUUGACGCUGAGGCGCGAAAGCUAGGGGAGCAAACGGG